rnacentral:rRNA from 1 species
ACUUUAUUUGAUUUCUUCGGAAUGAAGAUUUUGUGACUGAGUGGCGGACGGGUGAGUAACGCGUGGGUAACCUGCCUCAUACAGGGGGAUAACAGUUGGAAACGACUGCUAAUACCGCAUAAGCGCACAGGGUCGCAUGACCUGGUGUGAAAAACUCCGGUGGUAUGAGAUGGACCCGCGUCUGAUUAGCCAGUUGGUGGGGUAACGGCCUACCAAAGCGACGAUCAGUAGCCGACCUGAGAGGGUGACCGGCCACAUUGGGACUGAGACACGGCCCAAACUCCUACGGGAGGCAGCAGUGGGGAAUAUUGCACAAUGGGGGAAACCCUGAUGCAGCGACGCCGCGUGAGCGAAGAAGUAUUUCGGUAUGUAAAGCUCUAUCAGCAGGGAAGAAGAAAUGACGGUACCUGACUAGGAAGCACCGGCUAAAUACGUGCCAGCAGCCGCGGUAAUACGUAUGGUGCAAGCGUUAUCCGGAUUUACUGGGUGUAAAGGGAGCGCAGGCGGUACGGCAAGUCUGAUGUGAAAGCCCGGGGCUCAACCCCGGUACUGCAUUGGAAACUGUCGGACUAGAGUGUCGGAGGGGUAAGCGGAAUUCCUAGUGUAGCGGUGAAAUGCGUAGAUAUUAGGAGGAACACCAGUGGCGAAGGCGGCUUACUGGACGAAACUGACGCUGAGCUCGAAGCGUGGGAGCAACAGGAUAG